rnacentral:rRNA from 1 species
GACGAAGGGGCUGGCGUUGUUCGGAAUUACUGGGCGUAAAGCGCGUGUAGGCGGUUGUUCAAGUCAGGUGUGAAAGCCUUGAGCUCAACUCAAGAAAUGCACUUGAUACUGGAUGACUAGAGGACCGGAGAGGAUAGUGGAAUUCCCAGUGUAGUGGUGAAAUACGUAGAGAUUGGGAAGAACGCCAGUGGCGAAGGCGGCUAUCUGGACGGUUUCUGACGCUAAGACGCGAAAGCGUGGGGAGCAAACA